UUCAAUGUUAUUUCAUUGAUUGAAUUAAUGAACCCUAAUGUUGAGGAGGAAGAAAAAUAUUCAUUAUCGACAUAGAUAAAUUGUUAGGAUAUACGGUAGUGCACUCUGUAUUGGAAAUACGCACCUUCCGUACUAAACUAUCGUAUUGGAGACCUUGGCCUAUAUUCUCUCCUAGUGGCUUACUUUUAGUAUUAAAGUGCGCAGAAUGUACACACACAGAAGAUGCGAUUUAUAGACGACGUUUCAUGUACCUUGCGGUAGUACUCUGUCUGGCUGCCUGCUGCACCCUGGGUUUGACGCAUCAUUGAAUAAAUUGAGCAUAGAUCCUAUUUGGGACAUCAUCGUUGAUUCGACUUAACGUAGACGCGUCUCGAAUGCUGCUCUGACCUAUACAGAAACUCACGCGGUUUUAACGUAGUCACUUCAGCAAUCCAUUAUGGCUUUUAUGGGGGGUUUAUAGAAUAUUGACGAGCCCCCAGAUUGACUUAUUAAAUAAAAUAAAAAAUUAAAUAUAUUCGUGUAGAACAAUUGAAACAAUGGUUGUGUACGUUUCAAUGCUUUUUAAAAAUCAUAUCAGAGGAUUUAAAUAUUAAUAAUAACAAUGAAGUAGUAAUAACGUUACAUUAA